rnacentral:rRNA from 1 species
GAUGAACGCUGGCGGCGUGCCUAAUACAUGCAAGUCGAGCGAAUGGAUUGAGAGCUUGCUCUUAUGAAGUUAGCGGCGGACGGGUGAGUAACACGUGGGUAACCUGCCCAUAAGACUGGGAUAACUCCGGGAAACCGGGGCUAAUACCGGAUAACAUUUUGAACCGCAUGGUUCGAAAUGGAAAGGCGGCUUGGGCUGUCACUUCUGGAUGGACCCGCGUCGCAUUAGCUAGUUGGUGAGGUAACGGCUCACCAAGGCAACGAUGCGUAGCCGACCUGAGAGGUGAUCGGCCACACUGGGACUGAGACACGGCCCAGACUCCUACGGGAGGCAGCAGUAGGGAAUCUUCCGCAAUGGACGAAAGUCUGACGGAGCAACGCCGCGUGAGUGAUGAAGGCUUUCGGGUCGUAAAACUCUGUUGUUAGGGAAGAACAAGUGCUAGUUGAAUAAGCUGGCACCUUGACGGUACCUAACCAGAAAGCCACGGCUAACUACGUGCCAGCCGCCGCCGUAA